rnacentral:tmRNA from 1 species
CCGGUCGUGACGUCUUGCAAUCGUCCCGCUCUGCCCCCAUCAUUCGGACAUGGUUGUAAUUCCGGCAAUCUGGCGGUGUUCUGGACAGGGGUUCGACUCCCCUCACCUCCACCUAAACGCAUCGGAACGUGUGUUUAGGUGGGGGUGUCACGGCUUCGACAGGGCAGACAAAGGUGAGCAGGCAACUCGAGAGGCGACGGACGUAAUCCGCGCAAAUCCUUAAACGCCAACGAUGAGCGUUUCGCAAUCGCUGCAUAAGCAGAUUGCCGGGGCCGCUGAAGCCUUGUAACUCAAGACAGCCGGUGGGGACUUCGGUCCCCAUCGUCA